rnacentral:rRNA from 1 species
GUAGGAAUCUAUCCUUGGAUGGGGGACAACCGUGGGAAACUACGGCUAAUACCGCAUAAUGCUGAGGGCCAAAGACGUAAGUCGUCUGGGGAGGAGCCUGCGUCUGAUUAGGUAGUUGGUGGGGUAAAGGCCUACCAAGCCUGCGAUCAGUAGCUGGUCUGAGAGGAUGAUCAGCCACAUUGGGACUGAGACACGGCCCAAACUCCUACGGGAGGCAGCAGUGGGGAAUAUUGGACAAUGGGGGCAACCCUGAUCCAGCAAUGCCGCGUGGGUGAAGAAGGUUUUCGGAUUGUAAAGCCCUUUUGGCGGGGACGAUGAUGACGGUACCCGCAGAAUAAGCUCCGGCUAACUUCGUGCCAGCAGCCGCGGUAAUACGAAGGGGGCUAGCGUUGCUCGGAAUGACUGGGCGUAAAGGGCGCGUAGGCGGCUUACAUAGUUAGGCGUGAAAUUCCUGGGCUCAACCUGGGGACUGCGUCUAAUACAUGUAGGCUUGAGUGUGAAAGAGGGUCGUGGAAUUUCCAGUGUAGAGGUGAAAUUCGUAGAUAUUGGAAAGAACACCGGUGGCGAAGGCGGCGACCUGGUUCAUUACUGACGCUGAGGCGCGAAAGCGUGGGGAGCAAACAGGAUUAGAUACCCUGGUAGUCCACGCUGUAAACGAUGUGUGCUGGAUGUUGGGGUGCUUAGCACUUCAGUGUCGUAGCUAACGCGGUAAGCACACC